rnacentral:rRNA from 1 species
AUGUUUCCUCCUGCUGGUGGUGUUGGUGCUGGAGCUGGAGCUGGCGCGUGGCAGCUGCAGCAAGGGAUGGGCGUGCGCGCGGUGGCGGCGGCGGACGUCGUCCUCGGCCUGGCCACGGCCGCCUUCGCGCUCUACGCCGUCGCCCUCAACCCGGCAGAUUCCCUGACGCAGACUGAUACCGCGCUGAGGUCCGCGAACUGCGGCGCCACGCCGCAGCAGGAGCUGGGCACGCGCUUCGAGGGGCUGGUCGUGCUCCUCACCGCGGCGGCGCAGGCGGCCACGGCCGGGGCGGCCUGGGUGAUCGCGACGGCGUUCGGCCGCGGGAUGGCCCGGCUCCUCGCUAUCUUCGCGCACGCUCUCGGUGGCUUCAACGCCUACGCCCUCUACUACGUCGUCCGCGGGGUGGCCGCCGUCACCUUGGGCCUCUGCAUGGGCAACGCCGACCGCGUCAUACUCGUCCUCUACCACGCCAUCUUCCUCGUGACCCAGGCCGUGCUGCUCGUUGUCGGUUUCGUCGCCGUCCUCUGCGGAGUGUGA